rnacentral:rRNA from 1 species
CAGCCGCCGCGGGAAUACGAAGGUCCCGAGCGUUGUUCGGAAUCACUGGGCGUAAAGGGAGCGUAGGCGGCGUGGUAAGUCAGAUGUGAAAUCCCGGGGCUCAACCCCGGAACUGUAUCCGAUACUGCCAUGCUAGAGGAUUGGAGAGGUAGCUGGAAUUCUUGGUGUAGCAGUGAAAUGCGUGGAGAUCAAGAGGAACACUCGUGGCGAAAGCGAGCUACUGGACAAUAACUGACGCUGAGGCUCGAAGGCCAGGGUAGCGAGAGGGGUUAGAUACCCCAGUAGUCCCUGUCUCUUAUAC